rnacentral:rRNA from 1 species
UACGUAGGUGACAAGCGUUGUCCGGAUUUACUGGGCGUAAAGAGCGCGCAGGCGGUCGUUCAAGUCGAGUGUGAAAGCCCCCGGCUCAACUGGGGAGGGUCACUCGAUACUGAUCGACUCGAAGGCAGGAGAGGGUAGUGGAAUUCCCGGUGUAGUGGUGAAAUGCGUAGAUAUCGGGAGGAACACCAGUGGCGAAGGCGACUUCCUGGCCUGUUCUUGACGCUGAGGCGCGAAAGCGUGGGGAGCAAACGGG